rnacentral:rRNA from 1 species
GACGAACGCUGGCGGCGUGCUUAACACAUGCAAGUCGAACGGAAAGGCUCCAGCUUGCUGGAGUACUCGAGUGGCGAACGGGUGAGUAACACGUGGGUAAUCUGCCCUGCACUCUGGGAUAAGCCUGGGAAACUGGGUCUAAUACUGGAUAUGACCUUUCUCCUUAUGGGGUUUGGUGGAAAGUUUUUCGGUGUAGGAUGAGCCCGCGGCCUAUCAGCUUGUUGGUGGGGUGAUGGCCUACCAAGGCGACGACGGGUAGCCGGCCUGAGAGGGUGAUCGGCGACAUUGGGACUGAGAUACGGCCCAGACUCCUACGGGAGGCAGCAGUGGGGAAUAUUGCACAAUGGGCGGAAGCCUGAUGCAGCGACGCCGCGGGAGGGAUGACGGCCUUCGGGUUGUAAACCUCUUUCAGCAGGGACGAAGCGUAAGUGACGGUACCUGCAGAAGAAGCACCGGAUAACUAUGUG